rnacentral:rRNA from 1 species
GGACCCGCACAAGCGGUGGAUGAUGUGGAUUAAUUCGAUGCAACGCGAAAAACCUUACCUACCCUUGACAUGCCCGGAAGCUUUAAGAGAUUAAAGUGUGCUCGCAAGAGAACCGGUGCACAGGUGCUGCAUGGCUGUCGUCAGCUCGUGUCGUGAGAUGUUGGGUUAAGUCCCGCAACGAGCGCAACCCUUGUCAUUAGUUGCUACGCAAGAGCACUCUAAUGAGACUGCCGGUGACAAACCGGAGGAAGGUGGGGAUGACGUCAAGUCCUCAUGGCCCUUAUGGGUAGGGCUUCACACGUCAUACAAUGGUCGGGACAGAGGGUUGCCAAGCCGCGAGGUGGAGCUAAUCUCUUAAACCCGAUCGUAGUCCGGAUUGCAGGCUGCAACUCGCCUGCAUGAAGUCGGAAUCGCUAGUAAUCGCAGAUCAGAAUGCUGCGGUGAAUACGUUCCCGGGUCUU